UAGUAUAAUUUUAGGGGGGAAGAUACCUUGACACAUUGUUACUCAGAUUCUUUUCGGAAUUGGGCUAGAAAUUCUUCUCUCUGAUUCUUAUCUCCCACGAUUGCGCCGGCGACGUCGAACCAGGUAGCGGAUUCUUCUGGAUUCGAAGCACGAAGUUUAGAGAGACUGCGAACUACGAUAUUGGCUGAGAUGCACAGUCCGGAGAAAGUACUCGACGAUCCUGCCAAUGAGGACAGCAAUGUCUCUGUCGAAUUGGAGACUUCCAUUAGUCGAAAUGGUGGCCUCCAGGAAGAAAAUGAUCUUGCAAACACGAAUUUGGAAAACUCUAAUGCUCUAGCAAAUGGGCUUUCUUCCAUGCUUAUCAACAUCAUAAGGGAUUUUGAUUCCAAAGCUGAUGAUACUCUUAAAAGCCAGAGCCAGCUUUCAUCUUCCCUUGAUCGUAUCACUAUAGAACUGGAUCAGUUACUUGAAGAUGCACCUUUUCCAUUCAUCAUGCAGCAUGCCUCGAGGAUUUCAAGUGUAAGAAAGAGAGUUUUGUCACUAAAUUCCAUCUUAAGAUCCAUCCAACGAAGAUUAGAUAACAUAGAUCGGGCAAUCUCGAUGGGCAAUCGACCAGAUACUCUUUCCUCUCAAAGUUCCUCGCAAACUCAACAUGGUUGAAGAUUGCAACAAAUCGAACUAGUACAUCACCCUACAAUAGUAUUGAAAUUUUCUCCCUCGGUCUAUGUACACACACGUACAACCUGCACAAUUUAUCUAUUUCCGACUAGAGAACAGAACACCUUUCCCCAACAAUCCUCAACAUGUACUCUCAUGCAUGCAUGCUUGUUUAUAUUAUUGGGUUGACGUGACAGAUAAUAAAUGGAUGACCGUAGUAUUGAGAAAUUUUCACUCGUCUCAUGGAUGCUUUGACUUGUGACAAAUAAUAAAUGGAUGACUGUAGUAUCGAGAAAUUAUCACUCGUCUCAUGGAUGCUUUGACUUGUGACAGAUAAUAAAUGGAUGACUGUAGUAUUUUGAGAAAUUUUCACUCGUUUGAUGGA